rnacentral:rRNA from 1 species
GUGUAUGAACAAAUCACCGAGAAUGCUCCCGAUCUCAUCGGGUUUUGGAAGCUUCGCAGGGUUGAGCCUGGAUAGUGUUUUGAUGGGCGGUCACCGUGCGCGCCAGGUUGUCAUAGGCC